rnacentral:rRNA from 1 species
AUGAGUAACACAACCAUCCCAAUAAUGAAUUGGAACGUCCGUGGACUGAACUCUCUGGCGAAGAGGGCCACCAUUUGCGAGGUAGCCGACGCCCAUAGCCUCGCUCUGUUGUGUUUGCAAGAGACGAAGAUCGACGCCUGGUCGCCAGAGAUGGUCAGGGAGGUAGGAGGCCGCAGACUUGACAACUGCAUCGUGCUACCAGCGUUGGGCACCCGAGGCGGCGCCGCGAUCUUCUAGGACUCCACCAAGAUCACAAUCACCACACAAUUUGUAGGGUAAUUCUCCAUCACUGCCAGAGCGUUCCUGCCCCACGGUGGCCUCUCCUUCUGGAUCACCACU